rnacentral:tRNA from 1 species
GCGGGUGUAGCUCAGUGGUAGAGCGCUAGCUUCCCAAGCUAGUUGUCGUCGGUUCGAUCCCGAUCACCCGCUCCA